rnacentral:rRNA from 1 species
GACGAACGCUGGCGGCGUGCUUAACACAUGCAAGUCGAACGGAAAGGCCUCUUUCGGGGGGUACUCGAGUGGCGAACGGGUGAGUAACACGUGAGUAACCUGCCCUUGACUUUGGGAUAACUUCAGGAAACUGGGGCUAAUACCGGAUAGGCGCUCCUGCUGCAGGGUGGGGGCUGGAAAGUUUCGGCGGUUGGGGAUGGAGUGGCGGCGUAUGCGCUUAUUGGUGGGGUAGUGGCUUACCGAGGCGUUGCCGGGUAGCGUGCCUGAGGGGGUGACCGGCGACCCAGGCACUGAGAGGCGGCCCAGACUCCGACGGGAGGAAGCAGGGGGGAAGAUUGCACAAUGGGUGGAGGGCUGAUGCAGCAACGCCGUGGGCGGGAUGACGGCCUUCGGGUUGUAAACCGCUUUCGCUCAUGACGAAGCUUUGUGUGACGGUAGUGGGUAAAGAAGCACCGGCUAACUACGUG